ACCGGUUCUUCCUGAAUGAGGGACCCAUCGCUUCUGAUAAGAGUCCAGUUUCCAGUUCUGAUCGUGUCUCAGUCCUUGGAUUCCAUGGGAAGGAGGAUCUUUGGUUCCGUGGUCAUUUCAGGGACGUUUCCAGGGAAACUUCUUGGAAGACACCACUCUUGAUUAGCUUGGAACAGACCUUUUAUUCUCGACUGAAGUCACUUGAGUGCCCUCCUAGGAGGAAGAAAGAGAAAGAGAGAGAGAGAGAGAAAGUAAGGAAGAAAGGAAGAAAGAAAGAGGGAAGGAGGGAAGGAAGGAAGGAAGGAAUGAAGAAAGGAAGGAAAGAGAAAGAAAGAAAGAAGGAAAAAUGAAAAGAAAGAAAGAAAGAGAGAGAGAGAAAGAAAGAGUCAUGAAACUGGAUGAGAUCAUCAAGAUAGAGAAGGCAGAAGGAGCCCUGGGACCCUCCUAUGUUAAGAAGUUGGAUAGAAGAAGAACCAGCAGUGGAAAGAAAGAGAGAAAGAGAGACCAGUUAGACAGGAAGAAAAUCAGGAAUGUGCACAGGCCGGAAGCCAAGUGAAAAUAUUUCCAAGAGGAAGGACUGAUUAACCACAUCAAUGCUGCUAGAAGCUCCAAUAGGAUGAGGACUGGGAAUAAGUCUCCAGAUUUAGCAACAUAGACCUCAUGGACACACUGAGAAUCUGGUCUUUGCGGAAUAGUAGGUAUGAAAGCCUGUUUAGAAUAGUGCAAGAAAGAGGGGGAGAAAAGGAAUUAAAGAUGAUGAGUAUAUAGAACUAUUUCAGAGAAUUGUACUGUAAAGAGGAAGAAAUAAAUGGAGCAAAAACUGGAAGGGAAAUGGA
rnacentral:lncRNA from 1 species